rnacentral:rRNA from 1 species
CGGGUGAGUAACACGUGAGGAACGUGCCCCGGAGACCGGGAUAACAGCGGGAAACCGCUGCUAAUACCGGAUGCCCUUAUCGGGCCGCAUGACCUGAUAAGGAAAUGGAUUCCGCUCCGGGAGCGCCUCGCGGCCUAUCAGCUUGUUGGUGGGGUAACGGCCUACCAAGGCGUCGACGGGUAGCUGGUCUGAGAGGACGAUCAGCCACACUGGGACUGAGACACGGCCCAG